rnacentral:rRNA from 1 species
GAUGAGCGCUAGCUACAGGCUUAACACAUGCAAGUCGAGGGGUAACGAGAGGAAAGCUUGCUUUCCUUGUCGACGACCGGCGCACGGGUGAGUAACGCGUAUCCAACCUGCCCCCAACUAGGGAAUAACCUUGCGAAAGUAAGACUAAUACCCUAUAAUUUCCUCAGAUGUCAUCUGACGAGGAAUAAAGAUUUAUCGGUUGUGUAUGGGGAUGCGUCUGAUUAGCUUGUUGGCGGGGUAACGGCCCACCAAGGCAACGCUCAGUAGGGGUUCUGAGAGGAAGGUCCCCCACAUUGGAACUGAGACACGGUCCAAACUCCUACGGGAGGCAGCAGUGAGGAAUAUUGGUCAAUGGGCGGAAGCCUGAACCAGCCAAGUAGCGUGCAGGAUGACGGCCCUAUGGGUUGUAAACUGCUUUUAUACAGGAAUAAAGUUAGCCACGUGUGGUUAUUUGUAGGUACUGUAUGAAUAAGGACCGGCUAAUUCCGUGCCAGCCGCCGCCGUAA